rnacentral:lncRNA from 1 species
GUUUUUUUGGGGGGGAGAAAACAACUUUCUUGGAACCAUGUUUGUCUUUGGAGAUUUCGGAUGAAUGAAAUUUGUUACACUGUUACGCUCUGAUUCCAUUGUGCAAGGUUGAUUUCAUUUCCAAUUGCAAAAGCAUUUUACAUUGAAUUUUGGAGUGAUGGUGUCACGGCUGCAGCACAUCUUGGGUGGUGCAGAUUUCAUUUGGAAGUAGUUG